UAUAUUGGACAAUGGGGCCAACCCUGAUCCAGCUAUGCCGCGUUGGUGAAGAGGGCCUCCGGAUUUUAAAGCACUUUAACUUGGGGGGAGGGGCUUUCGGUUAAUACCUUGAAGUUUCGCCGUAACCAACAGAAUACGCCCCGCCUAACUUUGUCCCAGUAGCCGCGGUAAUACAGAGGGUGCAAGCGUUAAUCGGAAUUACUGGGCGUAAAGCGCGCGUAGGUGGUUCAGUAAGAUGGGUGUGAAAUCCCCGGGCUUAACCUGGGAACUGCUUUCAUAACUGCUGAGCUAGAGUACGGUAGAGGGUAGUGGAAUUUCCUGUGUAGCGGUGAAAUGCGUAGAUAUAGGAAGGAACACCAGUGGCGAAGGCGACUACCUGGACUGAUACUGACACUGAGGUGCGAAAGCGUGGGGAGCAAAC
rnacentral:rRNA from 1 species